CAACUCGAAUAUAUUUAGUUAAUUUCUUUGACUUGCAUACAUAUACAUAAUACAUUUAAUUUUAAUGGAAAAUUUGCAAAUUCUCCUUAUUAAUUUAUACAGAAAUAAGUAUCUAAAAAAGUUUGAAUAUCUGAUAAAAUAAAGUUAUAUAACUCAUCUUCGUGUUUUUUUCUGACAAAGAAAUAAUCGAUUUCAGAUUUCCCGAAACUCGAAUUAUCUUAUGAGAACAUUUCUUUUCGCCGAAGACAAUCAGAAAGAGGUUGUGUGUGAUACGCGCGUUUCAUCCUGGCUGCGUCGUGGACGGAGGUGGACAUAGUUGUCUGGGUACAGGUGCCUCCAUUGAUCGAAUCGGGGGAGGCAGCGACCGCCAGUUACGAUAAAUUGGCAUGCGAGAGAGAGGGGAACUGGUGCCAUUUAAAAAAUGACGUUGCGAAAAGAAUUUGGACGGACGCCAUCGCCAAAGAUCUACAUCGUCGUCAGUAGAAGUAUCUGUGCGGCCGACGAUCAAUAAUCUCCUGGGAACAUCCGUUUCCCUGACGGCCCAACCGGGUUAUCCAGCUGGCUGGCUACCCCGCCGGCGAUGGUAGCAGCAGCAGCAGCAGCAGAAACAGCAGCAGCACCCAGCCAGUAUCAACAAUAAUCAACAGCACCUGCCGCCUUUUCCCCGCGCGUCAGGUAUGUGCAAGGAAGAAACAUAAUAAAUGUUGGCAAAAGGUUUUUCCAACAUUCGCAAUCAGGCGAAAUGCACCUGGACCCGCAGCUUUUAAAACCCGUCGAUGGAUGAAUAGCCAUACGCCGAGAGA